UAGGCUGCAACUCGCCUACAUGAAGUUGGAAUCGCUAGUAAUCGCGAAUCAGAAUGUCGCGGUGAAUACGUUCCCGGGUCUUGUACACACCGCCCGUCACACCACGAGAGUUUACAACACCCGAAGUCAGUGGCCUAACCGCAAGGAGGGAGCUGCCUAAGGUGGGGGUAGAUGAUUGGGGGUGGAAGUCGUAACAAGGUACC
rnacentral:rRNA from 1 species